UGCGCCCUAUCAGGUAGUAGUGGGUGUAAUGUACCUAUUAGCCAACAACGGGUACGGGUUGUGAGAGCAAGAGCCCGGAGAUGGAUUUUUGAGACAUGAAUCCAGGCCUUACGGGGCGCAGCAGGCGCGAAAACUUUACAAUGCGGGAAACCGUGAUAAGGGGACACCGAGUGCCAGCAUCAUAUGCUGGCUGUCCAGGUGUGUAAAAUACACCUGUCAGCAAGGGCCGGGCAAGACCGGUGCCAGCCGCCGCGGUAACACCGGCGGCCCGAGUGGUGAUCGUGAUUAUUGGGUCUAAAGGGUCCGUAGCCGGUUUGGUCAGUCCUCCGGGAAAUCUGACGGCUCAACCGUUAGGCUUUCGGGGGAUACUGCCAGGCUUGGAACCGGGAGAGGUAAGAGGUACUACAGGGGUAGGAGUGAAAUCUUGUAAUCCCUGUGAGACCACCUGUGGCGAAGGCGUCUUACCAGAACGGGUUCGACGGUGAGGGACGAAAGCUGGGGGCACGAACCGGAUUAGAUACCCGGGUAGUCCCAGCCGUAAACGAUGCUCGCUAGGUGUCAGGCAUGGCGCGACCGUGUCUGGUGCCGCAGGGAAGCCGUGAAGCGAGCCACCUGGGAAGUACGGCCGCAAGGCU
rnacentral:rRNA from 1 species